CUCGUUUCUUUGUCGCGUUCUUCUCCGCUGCCGACCGGUCCGGCGAUAUACCAUCCCCCCGUUGCUGGAAGUCAAGAGACUGCUUUACGUUGUCGGUUGAUCGAGCCGUCGAUUCCAUCCCCGAAACCUGUUCUAUUCUUUGCUUCCUCAGCCGUUUCACGGUUCUACUGUUUGUCGAAAUCUUGUGCACUGUUGUGAACUAAAAUGCACGAAUUGCUGAGGGGAAGAUGUCUGCUUUGGACUUGUUGGCUGGUCAGACCUGUUCCACAUACGAAUGAGAGACUGAAGCCGCCAGCACAGGUACACCUGAUGACUUUUUGUUCCAAAUUUGAACAUGUUUUAGCUGGGGUGAAUUCUGGUUCUUUCGCUCCAGGUAAACGGAACGAUGUUAUAGAAAAGGGUUGACACUGUUGUAGAUUCCCAGCAGCGGAAAUUGUUCGAUGGAAGCAAAACUUUUGUUAAUGGAGUAGGAAGUUGGCCUCUCCUUGGUUCUCUUUCGGUGAUAAGAAAAGGACAAGAAUGGUGCUGUAGACAUCCAGAAAAGUAACUUGGAACAAGACACCACUAAAAUGUCUGGUAAUUCAACUUUUUUGAUUUGCUUAACUUUUUGAGCCCCCCCCACCCCCCGUUUUUUUUUUUUGUGUGUCUGCAGAUCAUCCCCUGACUGAUGUGGAGAAGAGGAGGAUCAAGUGGAGUGGAUGCCUGUGGGACCUUCUGCAGCCAGAAAUAAUUAAACCCACAGAAGAACCUCACAUGCCUGAACAUGGAAGCUUAUCCCCACCUACAAUUAAGACCACCGGCCUCCAUUGGCUUGUCUCCUCCAUGGAAAGGGACACCAUAGGUGCCAUGUCCACUGCACCAGAAUGAGCAUCAUUUCUUCAACAUGCAUCAACAGUAAAAUUAUUCUACACAAGUCACAACAAUUCCUGAAAAGGAAAAAAAAAAGGUUCCUGAUUCCCUCAAAACCAUCUCUGCAUUUCAGGCACUUGCAACCUUUAUUAUUUGUUCCAAGACUAUCAAAAUGAAAUCGAGGGCUAGUUUUACAAUAAAUUGUUUCUGUUUUAUUUAGUGUAUUAUGUAUGACUCUGUACAUGUUCCAAAGCAAAUAUACAAGCAUAUUUAUCUGCUCAAGA